rnacentral:rRNA from 1 species
GCGGGAAUAUUGCACAACGGGGGAAACCCUGGUGCAGCGAUGCCGCGUGAGGGAUGAAGGCCUUCGGGUCGUAAACCUCUUUUGGCAGGGACGAACACAAUGACGGUACCUGCAGAAGAAGCUCCGGCUAACUCCGUGCCAGCAGCCGCGGUAAUACGGAGGGAGCGAGCGUUGUCCGGAUUUACUGGGCGUAAAGAGCGCGUAGGUGGUUUUUUAAGUCGGCUGUGAAAUCGCUGGGCUUAACCCAGUUAGGUCAGUCGAUACUGAUAGACUUGAGUCCGGGAGAGGGAAGCGGAAUAGCUGGUGUAGCGGUGGAAUGCGUAGAUAUCAGCUAGAACACCGGUGGCGAAGGCGGCUUCCUGGACCGGCACUGACACUGAGGCGCGAAAGCUAGGGGAGCGAACAGG